rnacentral:rRNA from 1 species
CAGUAGCCGCGGGAAUACGGAGGGUGCAAGCGUUAAUCGGAAUUACUGGGCGUAAAGCGCACGCAGGCGGUCUGACAAGUCAGAUGUGAAAUCCCCGGGCUUAACCUGGGAACUGCAUUUGAAACUGUCAGGCUGGAGUCUUGUAGAGGGGGGUGGAAUUCCAGGUGUAGCGGUGAAAUGCGUAGAGAUCUGGAGGAAUACCGGUGGCGAAGGCGGCCCCCUGGACAAAGACUGACGCUCAGGUGCGAAAGCGUGGGGAGCAAACAGGAUUAGAUACCCCUGUAGUCCUGUCUCUUAUACA